UACAGAGGGUGCUAGCGUUGUUCGGAAUCAUUGGGCGUAAAAGGGCGUGUAGGCGGUUUUGUUAAGUCAUGUGUGAAAUCCCUCGGCUCAACCGGGGAACGACGCAUGAAACUGGCAAGCUAGAGUACCAAAGAGGGGGGUGGAAUUCCCGGUGUAGCGGUGAAAUGCGUUGAUAUCAUCAGGAACACCAGAGGCGAAGGCGGCUCACUGGGUCUCUUCUGACGCUGAGGAACGAAAGCUAGGGGAGCAAACGGG
rnacentral:rRNA from 1 species